UACGGAGGGUGCGAGCGUUGUCCGGAAUCACUGGGCGUAAAGGGCGCGUAGGCGGCCUGGCAAGUCGAUGGUGAAAGCCCGAGGCUCAACUUGGGAAUUGCAGUGGAUACUGGCAAGCUGGAGUAUGGUAGAGGAAGGUGGAAUUCCCGGUGUAGCAGUGAAAUGCGUAGAGAUCGGGAGGAACACCAGUGGCGAAGGCGGCCUUCUGGACCAAUACUGACGCUCAUGCACGAAAGCGUGGGGAGCAAACAGG
rnacentral:rRNA from 1 species